rnacentral:lncRNA from 1 species
CUCGAAGGGAGUACCGGGUCGUGACAUAAUGAUAUUGUGCAUGAUUAGAAUUGUUAGAGAAUACCCUAUAGGGAUGACUGUGAUAUACCUUUAUUGUUGGAGAUGAUUGCUAGAAUGUUUAAAUGGCAUCUAAAAUGCAUUAUACAUACAUAUAUUUAUCCGCACAAUUAUAUUUGAGUUAAUUGUUCCCACUCAUUGAGUAUUAGAGGGCUCACUCAUUCAUUU